GCCUGACAUUGGGAAAGGAGCUGUGUGGUCACUGAAUGGUGAGUACUGUUUCCUGCUCUUCAGAAACUGCGGAGGGGUAGGCAAGGAGCAGAGCUGGCAGUGCAACCAGUGCAUCUGACUGCCAAAUGUCUGUCUCAUAAACAUCCAGACACCUACACCAGAUACUGUCUGGACCCUGAGGAAGAUACUGGCUGAGUGCUGUAUAGUGAUCCUCAGCAGUGGUGAGACAGCUUCCAGAUGAAAGAGCCGAUGCCCAUGCAUCUAAGUCUGUGCUGAGUUCACCCUUUAGCUGCUGAAGUAGACAACUGACCUCAGAGAACCACUGGCUGUUGAAGGGACAUUUCUGGAAGCCGGUAAGCCUAAUGUUGAUUAUCAUCUGGCAAAAGAAUUGAGGAGGUGGCACUCACCAGUUUGAAAGCUCAUGCUCGUCAUCUCUGUGGGAGACUGAUGCAGGAUCUCUCAUACAACCGAGCCAAGCAGCUGGGUUCCCAGAGCAGAAGGCAGAUCGGGGUUCAGCUCCAAGACAUCCUGCUGGGAAGCAUGUUCUUUCUAGGAUAUGGCAUCCCUAAAAUCAGCCUUGAAGCUGACCUGCAAAAUGAGCUGAGAAGUCCUGGGAAAUUCUCGAUCCCUGUGAGAAAGCAAGUAACAUCUCACUAAUAUACCACAAAGAGGUGCUCUAAACCCGCAGUAGCUGUUGAGAUCAACUCUACCAAGAACAGAUAGGACUGCUGUAAGCUUGCCUUAAGGUAGGGUUUUCUGAUUUUACUACUCUGUUUUUAAAAAAAAAAUAUUUCCCAUGGCAGUCACUGCAAUAAAACCUGUGUCCAGCAGUCA
rnacentral:lncRNA from 1 species